rnacentral:lncRNA from 1 species
GUGAGGCGGCUCCGUGGGGAAGGGCACUUCUCUCCAAAUUGAAGAACCUGAGUUUUGAUCCCCAGAACCCAUACGAUGGCAGGAGAGAACCCACUCCAACGACUGUGACCUUUGACCUCCACGAGUGGGCAAAAGCAUGUGAACAUGUGUGAACAUACACAGAUAAAUAAAUGGAUAAGUAAAUGCAUGCAUGCAUGCAUGCAUAUGCAUACAUACAUACAUGAUCUCCAAGACGGUUCUAGGUUCUGUCAGGUGGAUAGCACACACCAACCACCACAUGUGCACCACAUGUUGGACAUUUUAUGGUCUUUCCAUCAUUCCUUAGUGCUCAGUGCCACCUUACUGAUUAAUUUAGCCUGUUCUCUGCCUCCUUCUCACACUCUCUUUGAAGGAUGAGAGUCCGUCCUUUUUCCUUAAGCACCAUAAAGCCAGGUUAAAAUAGUAUUUGGUUUUUAACAAGCGCUUUAUCGUGGUUGCUGAGAAAAUGCACCUCAUGGAAACCUCCCGCAGUAGAGGACAGGGAAAGCUACAUCGUCUCUCCUAUAAACUGGGUCAUGGCUCUCCUGGCCAGGCUUUCUGCUAGCCUGUUGUCUUUUUAAGAGAUAUGCUGGGGGGGGGGGGGAACUGGGUCAUUUGGGGAUUUAGAAUACUGUAAGUAAUCAGGCGAAAGCUUACUAGCGCUAACUAGUUACUUCCUUGUUUAUAAAGCACAGCGUCAGGUUGGCCUGAUGCU